GAUGAACGCUGGCGGCGUGCCUAACACAUGCAAGUCGAGCGAGAAGGUGCAGACGGAUUCUUCGGAUGAAGGAAGCACUAGAGAGCGGCGGACGGGUGAGUAACGCGUGGGUAACCUGCCCUAUGGAGGGGGAUAACGUUUUGAAAAGAACGCUAAUACCGCAUAAGCAAACGAGAUCGCAUGAUCUAGUUUGAAAAACUCCGGUGCCAUAGGAUGGACCCGCGUAAGAUUAGCUAGUUGGUAAGGUAAUGGCUUACCAAGGCGACGAUCUUUAGCCGACCUGAGAGGGUGAUCGGCCACAUUGGGACUGAGACAGGCCCAAAUCCUACGGGAGCAGCAGUGGGGGAUAUUGCACAA
rnacentral:rRNA from 1 species